rnacentral:lncRNA from 1 species
GUUUUAACUCCAAAACAGAUGCUUGUAUGCCUUUGAUAAAAAUGGAAAUUUAAAAAAAUUAAGGGAGGGAUAGUAGGGAGGUGGGAGGAAGGGAGAUGUGCUUUUUACAGCUGGUGCUUCCUGACUAGUGACUAGGGGGAAAUGCUUGGGCUGAAGUGUACCCUUCUGAAUGCUGAGCUCCUUAACAGAACCCAGGAGGGAGAAGCCUGGGAAAGCGUCAGGCCCCGGCCCAGGAGGACACUUCAUUCUCGCAGGUCUUAAAGGUUUCAAAUGUUCAACCCCAGAACUGCUAUUGUCAUGAAGGAAUGAAGCCAAAGAGAAAUCUGAUGUGUCGGAAGGGAACUCUGCCAUGCGGACUUCACAGCACCAGGAUCACAAGAAGCUCUAAGACUUUCCGGGGGUUUAGUAUACCACUGCCUGCAUGUGGUGAGAAGAUAUCAGUAUUUAUUCAGGUGAAUACUCUUUAAAAAAUGCUUAUAUACCGGACUAUGAUACGUAGACUAUCUCAGCACAUUCAAAAGAGCAGACAUUGUACAGAUGACAUUUCAGACCACAGUGCAGUACAAUGAGAGAUGAUUAACACCGUUUUAAGAAUACGUGAUGAUCUAUAACAAAAGGUUAGUACAUAUUUAAUUACUCUCUGGAUGGGCAAUGGC